GCAAGAGCCUGCAGGCCCAGCUCCUAGGAAAGCUCUGGAUAAGAAAGGGGCAGCCUUAGCCAGCGGGUGUCUUGUCUUUUUUGUCCUUUGAACUUCCCCUAUUUUCUUUCCUGGGCUGUGGACUCACUGCCUGGAGUUGGAAUAGCCCUGCACUAAGGAUGGCAGAAUAGAAGACUGAAAGGACCUGGGCCUCAGAGGACUGGGGGGCCCUGUCCCAGCUCUGCACCCUGCAGCCAUGCUUCUGGAUUCUACUGUUACUUGAGAAACCGAAACCCUAACUGAUGAGGCUCCCCAAAGUAGGAAGCAGAGAGCUACCAGGUCCCAGGGGAGGAAGUCCCAGGGAUGGGUCAAACAGGGAAGGACAAGGGGUAAGCCUAACUUCAUUCCUCACAGCAAAGUUUGCCAGCACAGCAGAAGAGGAGGAAGCCUGCCGUCCACUCUCAGCACCAUGGCAACAUGGCACCCAGAAAAUACUUGGUCAAUUUUAAAGCACUUUGCAAAAGCAAGAAGAGUGCAUGUAGAAAAAACUUCAAUGUCCACUAAGUUCUUCACUGUCCGUUUUAAAUAACUUGCCCAUCGACCCCAAGAUAUAGGCUGAUUACUUUUCUUUUGCAUGUACCACCCACCCCCAUUCACUGUCCAUCCCCACUCUGUUCUGCACCCCCAAGCCCAGCUACAAAGACUGUAUCGCCUAUUCCUUGACCCUUUGGUCAAAUUUAUCCAGAAGGAAGGACCAGUGUGAAUUGGAACUAGAACCCAGGUGUACUGAAGCCAAGGUCAAUACCAGCACCAAACAAGGUUUGUUCCACUACAGUUCCUUGACCCUGUUAGAUUAUUGGGCAGUUACUUUACAGAGGAUGCCUUUAAUUCCCUUUCCUAAUCUUUCUAAAGCAGUCCCUUUGAAAUGCCCACACUCAGCCAUAGUGCCCUCCAAGGUGAGCUCUUCUAGACCAAGGGCCAAUUGAUUGACAUUAUGUGCUACUCCAGGGCUCUCUCCUGAAGCAAAGGCGAGGGUCUGGGUGGGAUCCUACCAAGUCGAGGAGGUGGAGGUGGUACAGGAAGCAGCUGGUCCUGACCCUAGGGUUAAAGGUGAAGCCUGUAAGAGGAGGGGAAGCCAUAGACCCAGAAUCUAAAACCUAAAACCAGCGCCGUUUACAACACAGCAUUUGUUAUAUGUUACCACCAGUCCCCACCAGUGGACCAAAACUCUUUUAGAAACAAAACCUCCUUUUUAAAUAUGUUGUGCAUCUUUUAGUCUUAUGCUCUGUUAAACCAUGUAGAUGAACACUAAGUACAUUUCAAUAUCCUUUUGAAUGGUUGUUAUGACUUCUAAUAAAGUUGUCCAAGAAAAUCAAAACCAAAUAAAUAAA